rnacentral:tRNA from 1 species
UCCAGAGUAGCAAAGCGGUAAUGCAGUUGGCUGUUAACCAACCUAUCGCAGGUUCGAUCCCUGCCUCUGGAGCCA